rnacentral:rRNA from 1 species
AAGCGGAGGAAAAGAAACCAACAGGGAUUGCCUCAGUAACGGCGAGUGAAGCGGCAACAGCUCAAAUUUGAAAUCUGGUCCUCGGGCCCGAGUUGUAAUUUGUAGAGGAUGUUUCGGGCACCGUCGCGGUGUAAAUUUCUUGGAACAGAAUGUCAUAGAGGGUGAGAAUCCCGUCUGAAACCGCGAUAGGACCUAUGUGAAACUCCUUCGACGAGUCGAGUUGUUUGGGAAUGCAGCUCAAAAUGGGUGGUAAAUUUCAUCUAAAGCUAAAUAUUGGCCAGAGACCGAUAGCGCACAAGUAGAGUGAUCGAAAGAUGAAAAGCACUUUGAAAAGAGAGUUAAACAGUAUGUGAAAUUGUUGAAAGGGAAGCGCAGGCAAUCAGACUCGAGCGCGGGGUUCCCCCUGGCUUCUGCCAGGGUUACUUCCCCGUGACCGGGCCAACAUCAGUUCGGAGGACCGGUUAAAGGUCUUGGGAAUGUACUCACUCCUUCGGGGGUGAACUUAUAGCUCAGGGCGUCAUGCGGCCUCCCCGGACUGAGGAACGCGCUUCGGCGAGGAUGUUGGCGUAAUGGUUGUCUGCGACCCGUCUUGAAACACGGACCAAGGAGUCUAACAUCUAUGCGAGUUUGGGG